rnacentral:rRNA from 1 species
UACGGGGGGGGCAAGCGUUGUUCGGAAUUACUGGGCGUAAAGGGUUCGUAGGUGGCUCGCUAAGUCAGACGUGAAAUCCCUCAGCUUAACUGGGGAACUGCGUCUGAGACUGGCAAGCUUGAGUGCAGGAGAGGAACGCGGAAUUCCAGGUGUAGCGGUGAAAUGCGUAGAUAUCUGGAGGAACACCGGUGGCGAAGGCGGCGUUCUGGACUGUAACUGACGCUGAGGCGCGAAAGCGUGGGGAGCAAACAGG